GUAGCAUUCAAAGCUGAUAUUGGUCCC
rnacentral:piRNA from 1 species